ensembl:lncRNA
UCAUUUAAAAAAAAAAAAAACAAUCAAGAAAAACAGGCAUCAUUGCUCUAAAGGAAUUCCAAAGACUCUGAAGAAACACUUUUUUUGGAUUUAACAAAAAAUGAUAUGAGUGGGAGUUCUGAGUCAGAGUGCAUGUGUUAGUUUCACAUUGUUCUUUAAAAAUUCUUCCUCUUAAAUUUACAAAUGGUAUUCCACUUUCUGACAGAAGUAUGGAUACCUGAACAGUGGUCUGAGGAAAACAUAUAGAACCAAAUGCAAAUUUCUGUUCCAGUGCCCUUCUGGGAAUAGGCUUAUUAAGGGAAAUUAAGAACUCAUUUUGUGGAAAGAAAAGCAUUUGCAAUAAACUGAAAUGAAAAUUGAUGGUAGCAUUUUCUUCACUUAGUAGCAUUCUGGUGAGUGGGCUGGAGACUGUGAUUCCUAAAAGUGAAUAGUAGCUAAUAUGGGUGAAUUGUAACUGAGACUCGUUUUUUUCUAGGUUUUUGGAAGGGCAAAUAUUCAUACAAGUAAAUAGUUUGGCACAGCCCUCAGUGUGCAUGCAUGAAAGUGCUAGUUAAUACUAUCAAAAUUUGACAUUUUGGUUUUUUCUGUUUUUUUAUGGAUCUUGCCUGUUCUGCAGCUGUUCUUUAUUAUACAAGAUGACUAGAAGGUGAAAUAUAAACAUGAAGAAGAACAGAAUAGUAGUACUAUCUUACCUGCUUGUUUGAUUUUCCAAGUUUCAUAUAUCAACCCUUGCAGUGAGUAUAAGUCUUUGCAGUACAAAGUCAGUGCAAGAGCAGUUCAAGGUAACAUUAGACCUAUUAAUAGGCCCAGUAGGCUGGUGUUAGUCACAGAAGUCAUAAACCAUCAGGCUUCUGUUAUUACUGACUAUGGUCUUAUUGUAUGUUAAAAACCAUCUAAGUCUUUCCAGAUCUGCAAAUACAAUAGCUAAAAGUAGGGAACAGGGGAGAGGUGCCUAGCUUUUUACAGAAGGGCUUGCAGAAUAAAAAUUUCUGAUGACAAAUUAUUCCAUGCCAACUUCUCUUAUUGUGAAGAUUCUUAUAUGGAAUUUUGAAAGGUAGUUUUCCUUUAUUUUAUAUUGUGCUACAAAAUAAAACUCCAUAGCUCUACAUGAGAAUUAAGUGUUUGCCUGUGACCUUGUUCUUCACAUUCACCUGCUCAAAACCCACGCUACAGAUAGAAGUUGCUGGAAGCCCUCCAAGUAAACUAAUAAAAACUCUUACUUGAGGAAGUGGGAGAGGGAAUGAGCAGAAGGAGUCAGCUUGAAUGUUUCUUCAGUAUAAUCUGCAAUGUGCAAGUCUGUGGUCUUGAAGAAAAUAAGCACAUUAAUACUCUAAAGAGCUAGGUGGGGAAUAAUUUCCAUUUUCUUCAUUGAAAUGAAGAGCCUCUUGAACUAGUAGCUUAUAAAAUAUGGGGGGGAAAUGUUAAUACCUUCACAGACAUGAUGUAAUUAUGGGGGCUUCUUCAAAUGAACUAUUUCUAAAAUGAUACAGUUGGUUCUUACUUUGCAAAUCCUCUUCAAAACCACUAUCAGUGUCAGUCAAAGAGUAUUCAAAUCAAGCUGAAAAUGAUCUCAGUUUGUGGUUCUGAGAUAUCCAUAGUAAUUCCAAGUACUGGAGUGCCUGGUGUUUUUUCUUUCUUUGACAAGGAGAGAGUCUUGCUGAGUGGGGUUGGAAAGAGAACCUGGGAAGAGUUUCACUUCAUUGUUUCAAUUUGCAUUAGAUAAAAUGGGCGUCCCAGAUGUCUUUUUAAGGAGACAGACACUGGAACUUUAAAACUUCAUUUUCUUUCUUUCCGGGAAGACAAUUUUAAGCUUUGAACUCCAACAUUCUUAAAUAAUAAUAAUGGGCAUAGAGAUGAGGGUGACUUUUUUAAAUUCCCAAAAAGAUGGGAAAAUUAAGCAUUUGCAGCAGUACCUAGAGAUCUAGCUGAAAUGAGGAUUUUUGUAAUUCUGUAUACUCUUUGUACAUAUGAGACAGACAUUCCUACUCAGAUAGAACCUAAGCAGACAAUAAGACAAAAGGGGAAGCGAAACACUAGGUAUUAGCUUGAAGUUUAGGACUAGAAUUUCUCAGCAAAUUAAGUUUGUAUCAGACUGGGGAGCUGAAUCCUGCCCAGCGACUCAAUCACAAGAACAACGCUACAAAACUUAAGGGAAGGAAUCAGAUGGGUAACCUUCCAGAGCUUCAAAUAAAUAUCAGAUUAUAAUUCCAACUCUGCGUUUCUUAUUCAGACUAACUCCCUAAUCCAAACCCCUUGAGAAUCUCUCUACCUUUUUAAUGCACCCAUCAGUACAUAUUCCAAACAGUGUGUAUUCAGCAGACAAUGGUGAUUGUUGUGGUGGGUGGCAAAAUAUGCAGUGGGUUGCAGUAGCAACGAUUACAUCCUGUAUCUCUUUAAUAUAAUGCGUGGUUCAUAUUUCAAAAACUGUUUAUAGUUAGAGAGUAAAAUAUGACUUUGAUUAAUAUUUACAUCCAAUCUAAUGCCUUCAUUUGUUCCAUUGUCUCAUUUUAAGCACUUGUAUGCAAAAGAUUCUGAUGUUAUGUCAGCUGAAGCUUAGCAACUGCUAUUAUUGAUUAUAGCCUUGAUGGAAACUUCUCAGCAGUUUACAGUAUUUUGUUAGGAUAUUUGAAGAGACAUAAAGUAUUAUUAUAAAGAAGCAAAGCUAGGUUUGGCAAAGAGCCUUUCUUUUGUCUGUGAAACUCUCUUCAGUAAAUUUAGAACAGAAGGACUUUUCUCUGGAGUGAAAAAUAUAUGUAUUGCUGGCUACAAGCGUAAGUUUGCUGCUUCACCAAUUUAGAAUUAGAUGAUGGACUUAUUUAGUAGACAUUGGAUAGUAAAAAGUAAAGCCCAUAAUUUAAAACGUUCCACAUUACCACAUUCCAAGAAAAACAUGGCCCGGUGAACAAAACCAGCAGUAUUGUAAUAAGAAAACAACUAGGUGCAUUUUUUCCAAAACCUAAACCCAGAAAUCUAAAUGCAUGAGUUACUGGCUAAAAAUGCCAUUUUCAUGUCUCCAUUUCUUCGUGGACUGAAAGAAAAAAAAAACCAAAUUGAGAAAAAAAGAUGUAAUACUCCAGGUGAAGAUUCAGAAUGCUGCUGUAAUGUUACAAUCUUUUUUGAAUCUUAAUGUUGCUUCUUUAAUUUUAAAAAUAGGCUUUUUUUUUCUUUAUAGGAGAUAUAUUGUUACAACAAUUUUGUUUUUGUUUGCUUUGUUUUAAAUGUAAGAUUUUUUUUAAGGAAGUGUAGUAAUUACUGUAUCAGAAGGAUUUCUGUCAUUGCAUUUCCUGCACUGGCUUUGCUACUGAAUCUAGGAAAAGGGUCAAUUUUCACAUGAACUACAGAAGACAACUGUUGACAUGUAACAUUCACUGUAUUAAAGCAUGCUGCAUGAGUUCCCCUCUUAUUGAUAUCCCUUUCUGAUUGCUAUAUGCUGCUAAGUACUAAUCGUAAGUCAUAACUAUGCAUCUAAGUUACACCUAUGCUAAGUGAGUAGCACAGUCUAAAAUUCCAGUCCAAUUCUCUAAAAGAGCAGCUUGAUUUAAGUUACUGGAUCAUAAUUUCACUGGUUGAAAUUGAGACUGGAAGAUGGUGGGAAGACAGAAGAGAAAAGUGUUAGCCAGAUGCUUGAAUCCCUGAUCUUCUGAAGUGUUGAAGCAACUUUGCUUGGGUGUUCUAAAGGGUUUUUUUCAGGACAAGAGAAUCUGUAUCUGUACAAGAGGAUGGACAUUACUACAUAGAUACCUGUUCAAAUUAAAGGAAGCCCCUGAAAACGAAACCAGAAAAAAAAACCAUUAUGAGGAAGAUAAGGCAUAUAUAGGCAAGAUACAGGGAAUCUGAAAUGUGAUUUUCUCAUCAUGCUUGACUUGAAUGUGCUGCCUUCUGUAGCUUACCCUCUGUUGAACAUGUAAUUAAGGAAUUGAAAUCUGAGAGAUGGAUCAGAGGUGGAUUACAGAUACAGAUGUCAAUAGGAUAAAGGAUGUAGAUGCCAGGAAUUGCUGCUGUGUCCACAAGACUCUACUGCUGCUUCUGUCUCUCUGAAGGAAAUGUUUCUUUCACUUACCCUUGUGCAAAAAUCAAGAGACCUACCUUCUACAGGAAGACUUCCUUCCUGUAGAAACCUCAUUCCUCUCAAUAAUGAAACCACCAGCUGCUUUCUAAAGAACUAUUUUUCUUCUGUCUCAUCUUUAAGAGGACUGAAAUGCUACUCAAUUGUUUGUACAUGUAUACGAAGCUGCUGUUAUGUACUGUCCCUAAAAUUUCAUAGCCACUUUCCAGUGAUAGCAAUGUUCCAGAGUUCAUAUUUAGCUAUUUUCUAACAGUAGGCAGGAGAUUAUUUUUAAAUAUUAUUAGUUUUGAUGGGGUGAGGGGCAAAGGCAAUUUCUGUAUGCUGGAUAUGCUCAGCUGUUUGAUCUCUUGCUGUUCAUGGAUAGUCAAAUAUUAAUCAGAAGAACAUGGCGUGUAAUGACAAAGUUGAUUGUACUUUUAUUUUAUAUCUUCUAUCUCCUAACUGUGCACAGUGUUUUGUACAAUUCUACGAUGGACCUAAAAAUAGCACCAAAAUGUGUGUGUCAAAUGCAUCUCCCUUAAGAGAUUUGAUGUGAAUACUCCAUUAUGUGCCCUGAUCUCCAUUGCCUGAAGGACAAGAAGUUUAGUUCUUGAAUCAACUUUGUGUGUAAAAAUUUGAGUUCAUAUAUAAAGCAGAAAUAUUAUGGCUGUUCAGAACCAAUGGGUGGUAGGCAUUAAGAGAAAGUUUCAAUUCAUAAGUUCAACCUUUACCCUCUUCUCAUUUCUUUCUGUUCUGGUUUCACCUUAAUUUAUAUGUGCUUUAUUUGACUUCCCUUCUUCCUUCUCCUUUCACUGACUCCUAAGCAGAAGAUGGAACAAGCUUGUGGAAAUAGACACAACUAAUAACUGUUGGCAAAUAUCAUUAGCAUCUCCGCAAGGAAUACAACAUAUGACAAUUAGUGACCAGUCCAGCAGAGGUGUUGGCUCUUUGCAUUGGUACAGG